AUUGAACGCUGGCGGAGUGCCUUACACAUGCAAGUCGAACGGCAGCACGGACUUCGGUCUGGUGGCGAGUGGCGAACGGGUGAGUAAUGUAUCGGAACGUGCCCAGUCGUGGGGGAUAACGUAGUGAAAAUUACGCUAAUACCGCAUACCAUCUAUGGAUGAGAGCGGGGGAUCGCAAGACCUCGCGCGAUUGGAGCGGCCGAUAACAGUUUAGGUAGUUGGUGGGGUAAAAGCCCACCAAGCCAACGAACUGUAGCCGGUCUGAGAGGACGACCAGCAAGACUGGAAAGGAGACGCGGUCCAGACUCCUACGGGAGGCAGCAGUGGGGAAUUUUGGACAAGGGGCGAAAGCCUGAUCCAGCCAUUCCGCGUGAAGGAUGAAGGCCCUCGGGUUGUAAACUGCUUUUGUACAGAACGAAAAGGUUUCUACUAAUACUAGGAGCUCAUGACGGUACUGUAAGAAUAAGCACCGGCUAACUACGUGCCAGCCGCCGCAGUAA
rnacentral:rRNA from 1 species